UACGGAAGGCAGCAGUGGGGAAUAUUGCACAAUGGGCGAAAGCCUGAUGCAGCUAUGCCGCGUGUAUGAAGAAGGCCUUAGGGUUGUAAAGUACUUUCAUCGGGGAGGAAAAAACAAAACUAAUAAUUUUAUUUCUUGACGUUACCCGAAAAAGAAGCACCGGCUAACUCCGUGCCAGCAGCCGCAGUAAUACGGAGGGUGCUAGCGUUAAUCAGAAUUACUGGGCGUAAAGAGCACGUAGGUGGUUUUUUUAAGUCAGAUGUGAAAUCCCCUGGGCUUAACCUAGGAACUGCAUUUUGAAACUGAAAUACUAGAGUAUCGUAGAGGGAGGUAGAAUUCUAGGUGUAGCGGUGAAAUGCGUAGAUAUCUGGAGGAAUACCUGUGGCGAAAGCGGCCUCCUAAACGAAUACUGACACUGAGGCGCGAAAGCGUGGGGAGCAAACAGGGAUUAGAUACC
rnacentral:rRNA from 1 species